AGAUCUGAAAUGAAGUGAGAGGACCCGCUGAACUUAAGCAUAUCAUUAAGCGGAGGAAAAGAAAAUAACAAUGAUUCCCCUAGUAACGGCGAGUGAAGCGGGAAGAGCUCAAGCUGAAAAUCCGGAUGCCUUGCGGUAUCCCGAAUUGUAGUCUAGAGACGUGCUGUCAGUGUGUG
rnacentral:ncRNA from 1 species